UGGGGAAUAUUGCGCAAUGGGGGAAACCCUGACGCAGCGACGCCGCGUGCGGGAUGAAGGCCUUCGGGUUGUAAACCGCUUUUGAUUGGGAGCAAGCUUUCGGGUGAGUGUACCUUUCGAAUAAGCGCCGGCUAACUACGUGCCAGCAGCCGCGGUAAUACGUAGGGCGCAAGCGUUAUCCGGAAUUAUUGGGCGUAAAGGGCUCGUAGGUGGUUUGUCGCGUCGUCUGUGAAAUUCCGGGGCUUAACUCCGGGCGUGCAGGCGAUACGGGCAUAACUUGAGUACUGUAGGGGUAACUGGAAUUCCUGGUGUAGCGGUGAAAUGCGCAGAUAGCAGGAGGAACACCGAUGGCGAAGGCAGGUUACUGGGCAGUUACUGACGCUGAGGAGCGAAAGCAUGGGUAGCGAACAGG
rnacentral:rRNA from 1 species